UGAGUGGCGUUACUUUUGAAUGUGUGGUGUACCGUCAGAAUGUACCGACUCCUCUGAGAGACUCCAUCCACAAGGAGAAAGUGAUUAAUCCGCUGGAGCCAUCAGUGUCGGUCCUCCUGCCACCAACAGAAGAAAUCUCCGCUCAGAGGUUUCUCUCCCUGACCUGUUAAGUGAGAGGUUUCUCCCCCCGAGAGAUCUUCGUCAAGUGGACAAACAAUGACAAGCCAGUGAAUCCCAGUAACUACAAGAACACUGAGGUGAUGGCGGAGAGCGACAACACCUCCUUCUUCAUCUACAGCCUGUUAUCCAUUACAGCGGAGGAGUGGGCCAGCGGUGCUUCUUACUCCUGUGUGGUGGGACAUGAAGCGAUUCCAUUGAAGAUCAUCAACAGAACAGUCGAUAAAUCCAGCGGUAAACCGAGUUUUGUAAACAUUUCACUUGCACUGAUGGACACUGUUAAUUCAUGUCAAUAAAAAUCUCAAAGUUGCAUUUAAUAAUUCAA